rnacentral:misc_RNA from 1 species
AACAAGGCGUACCUGCGGACCUGCGGAGGGAUCAUUACCAGAGUGCCUUCAGGCUCUCCAACCCACUGUGAACAUACCUACGUUCCCCCGGCGGGCCCAGCGCGCGGCGGCUCCGGCCGCCCGCGUCCGCCGAGGGCAUCUCAAACCCGAAUUUAUUCGUGUCUUCUGAGGGGCGAAAGCCCGUAAAACAAAAUGAAUCAAAACUUUUAACAACGGAUCU